AUAUUAAAGAGUAGACGGAGAUAGGGAUGCAGACCAUGGAGGACAAACAAGGCUUAUGAGGCGAAGAACGCCGACUUAAGGGAUCCGGAGUCAGCUCCAUAUUUAUUAACGGCGUUGCAUCCAUACGGUUGCCUUCUGUUAUCUGGACGGGUUUAGGUUUUAAAUUCUCGUCGUCGGAAGCUUUUUAUCCUGGGUGUCAAAUCCCUGAUCCCCCUAAAUCUUUUUAUUUAUCGCAGGUGCAGAGCUUUUUUGGGCUGUAGAUUAAAAAAGUGGAUUUUCUUUGUUGAGUUUUAUUGAGGUAAUGGCAAAGAGGAACAUGUACAUCAUGAAUGCUAACUGCUGUGCUAGGGUUUGCUAUAAUGGUUCAGUUUUUGCGAGACUGGUUUAGAGCUAGACUUUUAUAUUACUUGUAUAGUUGAGCUUUUAGAUUUAGACUUGUGGAUAGAUAUUGGUCAAGAUAGAAAUGGAAGCAAAAAUCGUGAAGGCAUCGGAUAGAAGACAGAAAGUUAUGCUUGAUCCAAAAAGAAAGCGGUCGACCAUGUUUCCUGCUUAUUUAAAUGGAAUUCACCGAGCAAUGAUACCACAGUGCACCACUUUGGAUUUGUUGCAAAAUAAGCUUGGAAAGCGAAGGAAAUUGGAUGGAUGCAAAAGCAAGCUUAUGCGUAAUGGGUCUAAAAACAAGCUCAUGAAUCAUUGGUCUCGUGUUGGGAGAUCUUCACAUGGACGUUAUUCAAAUUAUAUGAAAACUGGUACACCUAAGCGUAUAAUGUUUUAUCAGAAUAGUGAAUGGAUUGAUUUUCCUCAGGAAAUUGUUGAUAUGGUUAGGGAGGAUUUUCAGGUAAAGAAGGCUACUAUGGAGAUUGAGUUAAAUGAGCAUUGUUUCUUGCUUGAUUUUUUGCACAUGUUUCAAAUGGACUUAAAAACUGGUUUACAGCAACCAAUUGCUUGGAUUGAUGAAGCAGGUAGCUGCUUCUUUCCAGAAAUUUAUGCAGAAGAUGAACUCUUUGACUUCAAUCCACCCAAAAGUGGAAAAUAUCAAUUCCCAGGGGUUGAGGAGUCUUUUGGGUCUCCUGAGAUCAAACUGCAGCUGGAAAUUGAAAUAAAUGGAGCGGACCAAUCUAUUAAGGAAUGUAGUGGGGAGCCUAAUGCUCUAGUUAAGCAGAUUCAAAUCAAUCGUAAACCUGCUAGCAACCACUACGAUCUAGACGUUGAGGGGAGUUGCAAUUUGGAAGGUGGUGCAAAAAAUGACGAGGCUGUUCAGGAAAAUAAACUGAUGAAGGUAGAUUUAGUCACCGUUCCUGAAUCUGAAAAUGAAGAAUUUGAUUGUGUUGCUGUGCAAAAGACGUUCCUUACUGGUAUGGGUGCUUUUUGUAGUGCUGACAUUGUUGAGAUAUACCCUUGCUCAAGUACUUUGAUGCAAGCUCGGUUUGAGCUUUUCCGGAAGCAGGUAGAACUAACCAAAAAGUGUCGUGGGGAUGCGAAUGUUCGAUAUGCUUGGCUUGCUUCUUCUGAAGUGGAGCUGCCAACAGUAAUGACAUAUGGGCUUGGUCAUUGUGGACCUUCCACAAUCAAGUCUAUGCAUGGCAUUGGUGUUCAUCUUGCAGCUGCUAACAGCUCUUACACAAGUGCAAGUCAAUGUGAUGUUGAUGAAAAUGGGGUACGGAAUAUGGUAUUUUGUCGAGUGAUAUUGGGAAAUAUGGAGGCCGUUUGUCCUGGCACUAAACAAUACCGUCCCAGUUGCAAGGACUUUGACAGUGGAGUGGAUGACCUUCAAAAUCCAAGAUUUUAUAUAAUCUGGACCAUGAAUAUGAACACACACAUCUAUCCAGAAUUCGUUGUCAAAUUCAAGAUCUCUUCCAAAGCUGAAGGGCUUUUGGUUGGAAGUGAGACUAAUCACGCUGUUUCAGGGAUUACUAAGUCUUGUCAUGUGACUCAGGGCCAACAUUUAGAGUCUCCCGCAGUUCAUGUGGAGAGCAUAAGUCAACCAAUUUCAAAUUCUGGGAAGUCCGAGGGGAAGGCUGCUAGUCUAGGUUCAAGCAGUACAAGAACUUGUAAAUCCGCUUGGAUGCCUUUUCCCAUGUUGUUUGAUGCUAUCUCAGAUAAAGUUCCUCCAAAGGCCAUGGAAGAAAUUAAAUUGCAUUAUGGCUUGUUCAAGGCAAAGAAUAUAGUGCGCGAUGAAUUUAUCAAAAGAUUGAGAUUUAUAGUUGGAGAUACUUUGUUAAGGUCUACAAUCACUAAUCUUCAAUGCAAGCUAGGUCAACUAGGAGCAGUUAAUUUUGGUGGUUUAUUUGUUGGUAGGCUCAUUUUGGUUUUGGAAUGGUUGGUUCUGCCAGAAUUAAAAUCUAUUUGGUAGCUUGAUGAAGGUAAUCUCCAUUUGGUCGGGAGUUAGUGGCAUACAUGAAGUCUGGUCAUUUUAAUCAUGAAUUUAUGUAAUUAGAUUUUGAUAUGUUAAAGAUAUACGAGGCAAUAUGACUUUUUGCAUUUGAUUGCAAAUGGCACUCCAAAUGUGGCAAUGCAUUUUAAGUAUGAGCGGAAAAUUCAAGGAUGGGAUUGUGAAACAAUUAUUAAAGUUAUUUGGUGUUGCGACAUUAAUAAAGGGUCACAUCAGAUGUAAAAUUGUAGCUAAUGUAACUUAUAAAAAAAAAUAUAUAUUGUAGCUAGUGUUAUGGUAAUAUGGCCUAAGGCCCUCAUAUUCCCAGCGGGUAGGGUGCUAACACCUCGUUGCCCUCUCCUAUCUUUUCUUACCUAGCAAAAGAAAAGAGUAUGGUAAUAUGCUCAACUUUUUGAAAAUUUUACACCACGAAAUAACUUCUCAUUGGAUUGGUAUUUCGUCAGGUCUAGCUUUAGAUUAUAGUAAAACCCCAAGGGGUUGGGCGAAGUGGUGAAGGCCUUAGUCUUUGGGUAUCACUCCCUUUAAGGUUCAAGAUUUAACACCUCAUGGGUGCAAACAAUCCUUUGGGACCACACCAUCUGGUGAAAAGUCAGCGAUUUAACCAAUUCCGUGUAGGGAAACUUUUGAGGGUGUGGUGCACGGGACCGGGGUUUACUCUGUAUGGGUGGAUCCGAAGGGCUCUGCCUUGGAGAAGUUCUCCGACAUAAAUAAUAAAAAAAAAAAAAGAGAAAAAGAAAAAAGAAGAUUACAUGAAAUUUUGUGUCUAUUAUGCUCUCCAAAUGACUUUCUAUAUUUUGAAAAACUAUUAGAAGUAUGAGAACUUCAGAUUCAUGUUAAAUGACAUUCAAUUUAUGCGAAAUUCGUUAUGCAUAACAUUUACUAAAUCAAACUCUAGGUAUUGGUUAAAAUCAAACCCCGUAUAUCAUAUUAUUCAACUUAUAGGUUUUGAAUUACCAAAACAUGGAUUUAGGAGAACGCUUGGCAAAUGGAAAUACAAUACCCAUACCCGGAAUGUUCUUUUCUUUUCCAUUUCUUUGAUUGAAUGGCAGUAGUGGAUCACACAAUGGUGUUACCCCUUAUUUGCCCUGGACCAGUGAUCCUGUUGAGGAUCAUCUUUCUUGACGUACCCCUAGUUAGUUCUACAUGAUGUAACUGGUCCUGCAUCAAAAGUAAGUCAUGGAAAGGAGUCUGUUAGGAUUUUGUGAAGGAAAACUAUAUGUAUGGCUGAGACUGGAUUGAGUUGACAGAUCACAGAUAGCAUACAAAUUUUUGUAUUGAAGGUGUCGAAAGUGCUGGGGGGUACUGUUCAUAUGAGAGUUCGUUUAGACGGACCCGUGCCCCCUAACAAUUCUGGGUAUUGGUAAUUUUGGCACUCUUUUCCAAGUUUCGGAUGCAGCCUUCAAGUCACUAUUUAUGGUACCAACACAAUCCAAGUAUGAACCGGAAGCGCCAAAGCCUAAUGUAGAAAAGGUGCAAGAUGCCUUUAAUUGACAGUGGUGCACUUGAACGUUUGCAUGUGGUGGUGCCGAAGGGGUGAAGACGUUGGACAUUUCAGUCGGUAAAUGCGUCGACAUGAAGUUUUGAGUACCAUGUUGGAUGAUUCUAGGUUUUUACAUACACUGCGGAAAAUAUAUAAAACUUUUUACGACUCUUUUUGCAACCAUGUUUUAAAUGAAGGGUACUUUUGUAAGAUAAUUUAUGAAAUAGUUAUAAUAAGUAUUAUCACUAUAAAAAUGCCCUCAUUUGAACAUGAUUGUAAAAUUAGUUGUGACAAACGUUGUCUAUUAUUCCUAGGAGUUUAGGUAAUAGUGGAACAAGGGACUUAGAAUCUGUAAGUUUGGCUUAUCUUUGUCUAUGAGCAAUGCUAGACGUGGAAGCUCGUGUUUGAAAGUCGAUUAUUUCUUAUUAA